UCCCCCCUUUUCCAAGAAUGCUGCGAGUUCAAAUGGAAAAUAUCAAAUUGGUCGUCUUAUCCAGGAAUCGCUUCUUCGAGGAGAGGGAAGGUGAAAUUGCUUGCACGUGGCAAAAAACUUUCCUCCUUUACAUAGAUGUUAAAAUUACAGUGUUCCAAGAAUAAUCUCUGAACAAGACGGGGUUUUGUUCUGUUAAUUGUGGCUGGAAGGAAACUUUUUUUUUUUUUUUUUUUUUUAAUGGAAAUACAGCACACACAUAUUUCAAUUCAGGUUAUUAAACUGUGUUAAGUAUUAAAGUUGAUUGCCUUUCUUUUCACUAACUCAUUGUGCUUUUUUAUCCAAAGAAAUAUUAGAAGACUAAAACCUCUCAAAUAGGAGGUAUUAAUCUCAUUCCCAAAAUUAGAAAGCAUGCAGUGUUGAGAGACUGGAUGUCAAAAUUACAUGUUCGUAGCACUUAUGCGGUGGGAAUCUAGGAACCAACCACUUUUAAAAUGGGAGCUAAAGUAAAUGGAGACUCCUCUGAGAGAAGCAAUCAAAACUUGGUCUUCUUGUCCUUACUGGAUUAAGGGGCACCCUUUCAGAUAAAAACAUGGACCUGAUUGGCAUCAUCCUGUAUCCAUGGAAACAUUUUAAGUACCUCUCUCUCAAUAUGUACUUCUCUUAUUCAGGGUUUAAAAGCUGAGUACCAAAUAACUAACACUGGAUUUUUUUUUAUCCUCUAAGAGCUCCAUAAGACUGGCAUUAUCCUGUAGUAGUGUCACAGCCUGCAGUCAUUUAAUGCCUCUUCUUGUGGGGCCAGGAUUCCACGCCCAAGUGCAUUUAGUAGAUUUGUGUUUGUUGUUAAUUCAAGACCUUGUGCCCUCACUUAAGAUUUCAGAUCUUCAGGAGACUUCAAAAAAAACUAUCGAGAAUCAGACUUAACACUGCUGAUUUGGAAGACAUAAUGCACACGCUGUCUUAGUGCCUGAUGUAAACCUGACUAAAGCAAAUGGUCAGACACAGUUUGCGAAGUCAAGAACUAAAACCUAAUGGCCUAGUUCUUCAAACACAUGUGUCAGCAAGAGUAGUUCCAGUGGACUAGGAGCACUGCUUCCUUCAGUUACUUUACUGAAGAAAAUAAGCAUGUUCAGGACUGACCUCGGCAUUUAGUUCUUGCAAUCCCCAGUAUAAAAAACAAUUUAAUGUGCUUUUUUGAUUUAAUUAUGGAAAUGAGAUUGGACAGUCUUCAUCUGGCACAAAAAGAGUGGCAAGAUUCCUUGUUUCUCCUGAUCUCUGCUCAUAAAUCGUGAACCAGAUCCUCAAAAGUGAGGUUGUCUUCAGAAUAAAAUAACAAAAACAAGAACAAAAUGAAAAACAACCACCACCAAACAAAAAAGAGAGAAACCCUACCACAUGACUCUGCAGAGGGCUCAAGUAAUAUUAUACAACCACAUAAUCAGGUGCCUUUCAGGAGUUAUUCACAGGACGUUCCUGUCUCAGUGCUUACCUCAAUUGGAUGCUCCAGAGUCACAUAGGUUUACGUUUCAUGAAAGAACAUGGAAGAGGAAAGAAAUGACAGUAAGACUGAAUUAUGAACUCUCAAAAGCUGAGAACAAGAACUGAUUGUAUUGUGGAAGCUGAAUUCACUGCUCUUGAUUAAUACUGGGCAAUGGUGAUCACAUGCUUAAGAUUGCCGAAGCAAAUCUAGCUGGUGUAUUACUCAUGCAGAAGAGACAAAAAGAAAAUAUUUUUUCCCGUUUUCAAUUAAAUGUUUUAAGAGCACCACAAACACCAUUUAAAAGGUCUGUCAUUUGCUUGAAAACUGAUGCCAGGAGUUCUUCACCAUAACUGAAAGCUCCUUUCUACCCUUGGACAGAGGUCAUGGUCCUUCAGACUCCUUCACCAACAUUGAGCUUUCUUUUUCUCAGCUCUGAGUUGUGCACUUGUGGCUCAGAGAUCUCUCAGACCUUUUCCAUCAGCAGUGCUAUCACCAUGCCCCUCCGCUGUCUAUGCCAUUGUCACCUUUACAUCUGGUGGUUACUCAAAUCAGAACAUCUCGGUUGCUUCUCAGGUAUUCACCUGAGUGACUCAGCAGCUCUCUGAGGGUCAACCAAUCGCAGGACGCCUGCAGUCAAAUCUCACAGAGGUGCCACAGAUCUUAAUUAUAUCUUCUGCAAAGUACUUGGAGGUUCUCUGGCAAAAGUGAUUUCAGUAUGCAAAAUACUGCAGCAAAAUAAACGAAUCUAGAUAGCAGAGGUCAGUCCUGUCUGUCUACGUUAACCUAACAGCCUGUGCUUUUCUUCUUCCCUUCACCAUUUGCCAGAACAGAUACGGUUUGUUUUUCCUUUGAUGCUGUGGAGUUGACAGUGACAGAUUACUUUCAGUUUGUCAUCUUGAACCUUCCCACUUUCCUGGUGAUGUGACCCAUGACAUGAGGGAGAUCUGUAAUCACGGACAGCUGCCUCUCUGAGCAACAUCCAGAUACCGCAGGAGAGGUGGGAUGGGACCACACAGAAGUCAUUGUCUUCCCAGCACAGCCGCUGGGUCCCAGGGAUGGAUGGUGAGAAAUAAAUGUGUGAGGAGCAAGGGUUUUCCAAAAAGUACGUGUGUGCUAACAUUUUCAUAAGGCAGCUCACAACUCUAAAGAGUCUCAUUUUCUCAACAGGGUGUUUCAGGAUAUUUUGAAUGUAGAAAAGAAGAGACUGUCUCCAAUGGUGGGGUCCCUGUGUAGCACGAACUCAGUUUUUGUGAUAUUUUAGCAUCAGUCUGUGCCACUGGGAAUACUAAUAUUUUUGUGUUCAACCACCAUUAAGACCAUCAUCAGCAAAUUUGCUGAUAACACCAAGUUGGGAGGGAGUGUCGACCUGCUGGAAGGCAGGAGGGCUCUGCAGAAGGAUCUGGAUAGACUGGAAAAAUGGGCUGAUUCCAAUGGGAUGAAGUUCA